GUCUGACUUCAAAGCUCAUCUUUUCAUCCACAGCAAGAAACCUGAGAAGAGCUACUGCGAAGACGAUCCAGGACUGCGGAAUCCCCUGGCCUGACACAGACUUAAAUUCCUUUGUGCCCAGAGUAUGACAGACUCUCACGCGGUCAGCCGUCUGCAGGCUGGGGGACUCGGGAGGACCGGCACGAGGAAGGAGAAAGAUAAACUGGGACGCGUGACUUUCUUCAUCACUUCAGGCUGAGCACACACAUGUCUUUCUGACCGGGCCACGUCCUACAAAAAUGAACUAUUUCACAUAGCCUUCUCAGGCACUCAACCAAAUGACGGAGAAAACAAAGGGGGAAGUGGAAAAACAUUUCAUCUGAAGCAAAGUAUUUCUCCUUGAGGAAUGUUUAAUUGAACAAGUAUCAACAUCAGAUGCAAUGAGAGAUCAGAUGAGAAAGUUGGAGACAAUAACCAGAAGGUUGAAAUGAUG